UCCUGGGAUAACUGUGUGUUAUUCCGAACCUAAUACUAGAUAACUGUGUGUUAUUCCGAACCUAAUACUGGCUAACCACCGCGGACCGGCCCGCGCGGGGGGUGGGAUGCGUGCAGUUAUCAGAUCCAUACCGACCCGGGGGAGUGACGCCGGUUAUCCUUGUAUGAUCCGGGUCGCGUGUGGGGAAAGCGAGUCUUUGGGUUCCGGGGGGACAAUGGUUUUACAAUGGAAGGGGACGUGAAUUGACGGGUUAUGACGGGUAACGGGGAAUCAGGGUUCGAUUCCGGAGAGGGAGCCUGAGAAACGGCUACCACAUCCAAGGAAGGCAGCAGGCGCGCAAAUUGCCCACUCUCUGAACGAGGAGGCAGUGACGAUAAAUAUUGAUGCAGAUCUCAUAUGAGGCUCUGUAAUCGAAAUGAGUGCAUUUUAAAUCCCACAGCGAGGAUCUAUUGGAGGGCAAGUCUGGUGCCAGCAGCCGCGGUAACUCCAGCUCCAAUAGCGUAUAUAAAAGUUGCUGCAGUUAAAAAGCUCGUAGUUGGAUCUGGGCUGUGUCGCGAUUGCUAGCCUCGGUUGCCACUGCUUUUGUGCUGUGUAAUCGGGUUGGUGGAUUCCGCAUGGCUUCGCAGCUGUGUCCAUGUGGCUUCUGCCGUGUGGAUGACGUUGGAUGUCAGACGGGGCUCCUUCAUUGGGGUUCUCGUCGGUUCAGCGUUAUGUCUCGCUGAUGCCCUUAACGGGUGUCCGAGACUCUCAGCACGUUUACUUUGAACAAAUUUGAGUGCUCAAAGCAGGCCGCUUGUUGCCUGAAAAUUCUUGCAUGGAAUAAUGGAAUAGGACUUCGGUCCUAUUUUGGUUGGGCUUUGAUCAGAACUGAAGUAAUGAUAAAGAGAGACAGACGGGGGCAUUUGUAUGGCGGCGCUAGAGGUGAAAUUCGUGGACCGUCGCCAGACAAACUAAAGCGAAAGCAUCUGCCAAGUAUGUUUUCAUUUACCAGGAGCGAAAGUCAGAGGUUCGAAGACGAUUAGAUACCGUCCUAGUUCUGACCAUAAACGAUGCCAACUGAUGAUCCGUGGUGGUUCAUUUUAUGAUCCCACGGGCAGUCUCCGGGAAACCUGUAAGUCUAUGGGUUCCGGGGAAAGUAUGGUUGCAAAACUGAAACUUAAAGGAAUUGACGGAAGGGCACCACCAGGAGUGGAGCUUGCGGCUUAAUUUGACUCAACACGGGAAAACUCACCCGACCCGGACACUGUGAGGACUGACAGAUUAAAAGCUCUUUCUUGAUUCAGUGGCUAGUGGUGCAUGGCCGUUCUUAGUUCGUGGUACGAGCUGUCUGGUUAAUUCCGAUAACGAACGAGACUCUAACCUGCUAAAUAGUACAGUUGCAAAUUUAUACGUGUCUCCUGAUCUGGGUCCCUGGAUUCAGGCAGGAGCCGUAUAAGCAGGUGAGACUUCUUAGAGGGACUGGCACUUUUUUUCAAAGUGCACGAGGGAGAGCAAUAACAGGUCUGUGAUGCCCUAAGAUGUUCGGGGCCGCACGCGUGCUACAAUGACGAUGCCAGUGAGCAUGAUUUGCUUGUCCGAAAGGAUUGGCAAACCUGUGCAAUCAUCGUCGUGACUGGGAUUGGGGUUUGCAAUUAUCCCCCAUGAACGAGGAAUUCCUAGUAAGCACAAGUCAUAAGCUUGUGCUGAUUACGUCCCUGCCCUUUGUACACACCGCCCGUCGUUACUACCGAUUGAAUGGUUUAGCAUGGUUAUUGGAUCUGUUUUAAGUGGUUUAUGCUGCCUAGGACGAGAAAGCGUUGC
rnacentral:rRNA from 1 species